AUUGAACGCUGGCGGCAUGCCUUACACAUGCAAGUCGAACGGCAGCACGGGAGCAAUCCUGGUGGCGAGUGGCGAACGGGUGAGUAAUAUAUCGGAACGUGCCCAGUCGUGGGGGAUAACGAAGCGAAAGCUGUGCUAAUACCGCAUACGAACUAUGGAUGAAAGCGGGGGAUCGCAAGACCUAGCGCGAUUGGAGCGGCCGAUAUCAGAGUAGCUAGUAGGUGAGGUAAAGGCACACCAAGGCGACGAUAUGUAGCUGGUCUGAGAGGACGGCCAGCCACACGCUAACUGAGACACGAUCCAGACGCCUACGGUAGGCAUCAGUGUUGAAUUUUGGACAAUGGGCGAAAGCCUGAUCCAGCAAUGCCGCGUGCAGGAUGAAGGCCUUCGGGUUGUAAGCUGCUUUUGUACGGAACGAAACGGUGAGCUCUAAUACAGUUUGCUAAUGACGGUACCGUAAGAAUAAGCACCGGCUAACUACGUGCCAGCCGCCGCAGUAA
rnacentral:rRNA from 1 species